CAAGCUGGCGGCAUGCCUAUAAUGCAAGUCGAACGCUUUGAUUUCACCGGGUGCUUGCACCCACCGAAGUCAAAGAGUGGCGGACGGGUGAGUAACACGUGGGUAACCUGCCCAUAAGAGGGGGAUAACAUUCGGAAACGGAUGCUAAUACCGCAUACUUCUAAUCGCCUCCUGGCGAAUGGAAAAAAGGUGGCUUCGGCUACCGCUUAUGGAUGGACCCGCGGCGUAUUAGCUAGUUGGUGAGGUAAUGGCUCACCAAGGCGAUGAUACGUAGCCGACCUGAGAGGGUGAUCGGCCACACUGGGACUGAGACACGGCCCAGACUCCUACGGGAGGCAGCAGUAGGGAAUCUUCCGCAAUGGACGAAAGUCUGACGGAGCAAUGCCGCGUGAGUGAAGAAGGUUUUCGGAUCGUAAAACUCUGUUGUUAGAGAAGAACAAGGAUGAGAGUAACUGCUCAUCCCCUGACGGUAUCUAACCAGAAAGCCACGGCUAACUACGUGCCAGCAGCCGCGGUAAU
rnacentral:rRNA from 1 species